GUGCUCACUUUGGCAGCACAAGUACUAAAACUGGAAAAACACAUGAUUGGCACGGCCUCUGUGCAAGGAUGGCUUGCACAUUUGUGAAGUGCUUCAUAAUUUU
rnacentral:snRNA from 1 species